CUCGUGCAGCCACGACUGCAAGCAGCAGCAAUCCCAGUGUGCCCUGACCUGCAGGGAGGCUCUUGUCUGGAAGUCACUCACAUAAAUUCUCUGGUAAACCAGACCAAGUUCACACACAGAUAAAGAAACUAAGGCAAAGGUGAUAAGUG
rnacentral:lncRNA from 12 species